rnacentral:rRNA from 1 species
UACGUAGGGUGCAAGCGUUGUCCGGAAUUAUUGGGCGUAAAGAGCUCGUAGGCGGUUUGUCGCGUCUGCUGUGAAAACUGGAGGCUCAACCUCCAGCCUGCAGUGGGUACGGGCAGACUAGAGUGCGGUAGGGGAGAUUGGAAUUCCUGGUGUAGCGGUGGAAUGCGCAGAUAUCAGGAGGAACACCGGUGGCGAAGGCGGGUCUCUGGGCCGUUACUGACGCUGAGGAGCGAAAGCGUGGGGAGCGAACAGG